GAUGUCAUGAGUGGAGGCUCUGAGAAAAUAAGGGCUGUGUUUUCAGUUUAGACCCAGCUAAGUUGGGAGCUGACAUAGAUAUGAUGUUGGGUCCACCCUCCACGGGCAGGUUUUCAGACAAAGGAUCCCUGGCAAUCAGGGGACACCUCAGGUCUGGGCUGAGAUGUGUGCAGAGGGCCUGGGUCCUCCUGAGCCCCUGCACUGGGGGGGGAAUAAGAGACAGGCCCAGCAAGGGGCUGUCCACUUCCUGUGGGUUCACAGCUGUGGGGACCCAGGCAGGCGGCAGCAGGCUCUGACUUAACCACAUCCGUGCAUCUGUCUGUCAUGGAGGGCCAUGUGGUCACCUGUCCCACAGCUGGAGCACGCAGAGCAGGCAUCAUGGUGUCCAUCCUCACUGUUCUUCUGUGCCUCAGUCAGUGGUGGAGAGACGAGGGACAGGAGGGGCACUGGGCUGAGGUGGGGAGGGUCCCACAGCAGCCUUGUUCACCAGAGAGCCUCAGGGCUCCAGUGGCUACUGGUGCUCCAACAGGAAGGGAAGCAGCCACACCUCUGUGUUCCAAAUCCCCCACAGGAAACUCUUCUCCAUGGCUGAGUCUGGGCCAGAAAGCCCAAGCACUUGCAGGUGAGUCUCUGCUAACCUCCCAUGCCUGACCUCACACUCAGCACCUGGACUCUCAUCUCAGGGGCUUCUGAACUGAGGGUGAGAAAAUCAAGAGGGUCUGUGACCUGAGCUGGGAAUGAGGAGCGGGGGAGGUCUGUGGACCCCAGCCUGUGGUUUCUUCCAGGGACCCUCCCCAAACCCAGCCUCUGGGCUGAGCCAGGCUCUGUGAUUACCUGGGAGAGCCCCAUGACCCUCUGGUGCCAGGGGACCCUGGAUACCCAGGGUUACUAUCUCACCAAGGAAGGAAACCCCAUGACCUGGUACCAACAGAGCCCACCAGAGCCCAGGAACAAGACCAACUUCUUCAUCCCAUCCAUGAGAGAGCACCAUGCAGGGAGAUACCACUGUCACUAUCUCAGCCCUGCAGGCUGGUCAGAGCGCAGCGAGCCCCUGGAGCUGGUGGUGACAGGUAAGAGGACACUCAGGGGUCCCAGCCCCAGGCUCUGCCUGCAGGAAGGGGGUCAGCUCUCAAGGGCAUCUCCGUUCUAAUAACUCAGCCCUGGGGGAUGAUGUGGGACGCGUGAGCCCCAUUUAAGACAGUGUCUCCUUCUCUCCUAGGAGCCCACAGAAAACCCACUCUCUCAGCCCUGCCGAGCCCUGUGGUGACCUCAGGAGAGAACGUGACCAUCCAGUGUAGCUCAAGGGUGGGAUUUCACAGGUUCAUUUUGAUUGAGGAAGGAGAAAACAAGCUCUCCUGGAUGCUGGACUCACAGGAACUCUCCAAGGGGCUGUCCCUUGUCCCUGGCCCUGUUCCCUGUGGGCCGUGUGGCUGCCAGUCACCGGUGGAUGUUCAGAUGCUAUGGGCAUUACACGAACUUCCCCUGGGUGUGGUCGGAACCCAGUGAUACCAUGGAGAUCCUGGUCUUAGGUAUGGAUGUCUUCCUCCUUGCCCUAUUUAUUUUUGAGAACUUACUCUCACGGAGCCCCAUGUAGGAGGGUGGAACAAGGGAAGUUUGGGACUCCUGAGCCCAGAGACACUGAGUGUGAGAGACAGUGAGACCUGCAGGGCCAGGAGGGGAGAAGGAAGGGGUGUGGGAGGAACCAGCCCUCCUAGUCCCGACUCUUCUUUCCCUCCAGGCGUGUCUAGGAAGCCCUCCCUCCUGACCCUGCAGGGCCCUGUCGUGGCCCCUGGGGAGAAUCUGACCCUCCAGUGUGGCUCUGAUGUCGGCUAUGACAAAUUCACUCUGUACAAGGAGGGGGGACAUGACCUCGUCCAGGGCUCUGGCCGGCAGCCCCAGGCUGGGCUCUCCCAGGCCAACUUCACCCUGGGCCCUGUGAGGGUCUCCCACGGGGGCCAGUACAGAUGCUACGGUGCACACAACCUCUCCUCCGAGUGGUCGGCCCCCAGUGACCCCCUGAGCAUCCUGAUCGCAGGUGAGGAGCCCAGCAGGUUCAGUCAGGGACCCAGGCUCCGCACAGGCCCUGCUGGGGGAGCCCAGGUGGUGAUGGCCGGGAUGAGGGGUGGGGGUCCUAAGGGACGGAGAGACAGACAGAGACAGGGGAUGGGCGGGGAGGGGGAGACUCAGAGAAAACAGAGACAGAGACACUGAGGGUCCCAGGGAGAGGCCUGGGGAGGUGUCAGCUCAGAACGAGGUGGGGCAGCCCCUCACCCAUCCUUCUUCUCUCCAGGACAGAUCCGUGGCAGACCCUCCCUCUCGGUGCAGCCGGGCCCCACGGUGGCCUCAGGAGAGAACGUGACCCUGCUGUGUCAGUCACGGGAGCAGUUGGACACUUUCCUUCUGACCAAGGAGGGGGCAGCCCAUCACCCACUGCGUCUGAGAUCAGAGCACCAAGCUCAGCAGCACCAGGCUGAAUUCCCCAUGAGUCCUGUGACCUCAGCCCACGCGGGGACCUACAGGUGCUACAGCUCACGCAGAUUCUUCCCCUACCUGCUGUCUCACCCCAGUGACCCCCUGGAGCUCGUGGUCUCAGGUGAGGCCGCUGACCCUGUCCUCUCUGAGCUCAAACCUCAGCUCAGGCCCUGCCCCCAGGAGAGCUCAGGACGCUAAGGAAAGAGGGGAGUAAAGGGGGAGGGUCGGCAGGGGAGGGCCCAGCCCAUGAGAGGGUGGAAAUAGUCAGGGACCUCCUAAUCCUGGGCUCCCACCCCAGAGACCUCAGAUGGGGCUAAAGGCCAGGGAGGGCUGAAAUGAGAUAUGGAGAAACCUUGGAGGAAUCAUGCUUAGGCUGAGGGUAGAAGAUGGAGGCCCCACCCACUCCCCACCUGGGCUCCCCUGGCGGCCCCAAAAUACUCAGUGCAUACCUGAGACGAAGGGGAGAUCAUGCACCUGCUCACUGCAGCAAUGCAGGCAAAUUAUUCAACAGCAAACCUCGUGUGCAAUUCCUUUCUGUCCUUUAUUUUUUAUGUCCACAUAUCUAGUUUCUCUUUCUGUUUCUGAAGAUUUCAAAGCAAUGCUGGCAUUUAUAAUUUACACAUUUAAUUUGUUAGGUAGCGUUAUGAUGUAAAAUAACUGUGCUCUGAUUUUCUUUGGGAUUAAAUUAAAUAUGUGCAUUCAUGAUGGAGAAUAACUUCUCAUUAAUAAUGUCUUUGUAUCCAAUACAUUUAAAAUUAAACUUUAUACAGUUAGCAGAUGCUUGAAGUUGUAUUCAUAAAAAUUGUGGACAUUGUGAAUUUUAAGCAUUGUUUUACUACUUGAAUAAUUUGAAAGUCUUUGAUUCCUUUCUAUUUUCUAAAAUUAGUUACGUAUGGAUGAGAAAGCUAUUGGUUUGGGUAUGCUAAUUUUAGUUCCUAUUAACUUACCACAGACACACUCCCUUUCAAUCCUUUCCGAAAUGAUCUCUUCUGAUUUAUUGAUAAUAAUUACAUUAACCACAAGAAAAUGGAGGACAAACUUGUUUGUUUCUAAAUUAUAUAAUACUCUUCUCACUUCAAAUAUAUAUGUAUGUGUUUAUAUAUACUCACACACUAUUAUAUAUCUUAUAAUAUAUAUUAUGUAUUAUAUAUUUAUAUAUACACUAUUAUAUAUCUUAUAUAUUAUGUAUUAUAUAUUUAUAUAUACCCACACAUUAUUAUAUCUUAUAAUAUAUAUUAUGUAUUAUAUAUUUAUAUAUACCCACACAUUAUUAUAUCUUAUAAUAUAUAUUAUGUAUUAUAUAUUUAUAUAUGCACUAUUAUAUAUCUUAUAUAUUAUGUAUUAUAUAUUUAUAUUACCCACACAUUAUUAUAUCUUAUAAUAUAUAUUAUGUAUUAUAUAUUUAUAUAUACACACACUAUUAUAUAUCUUAUUAUAUAUUAUGUAUUAUAUAUUUAUAUAUACUAUUAUAUAUCUUAUAAUAUAUAAUGUAUUAUAUAUUUAUAUAUACACACACUAUUAUAUAUCUUAUAUAUUAUGUAUUAUAUAUUUAUAUAUACAUACUAUUAUAUAUCUUAUAAUAUAUUAUGUAUUAUAUAUUUAUAUAUAUACACUAUUAUAUAUCUUAUUAUAUAUUAUAUAUUUAUAUAUGCACACACUAUUACAUAUCUUAUUAUAUAUUUAUAUGUAUACACACACUAUUAUAUAUCUUAUUAUAUAUUAUGUACUAUAUAUUUAUAUAUACUAUUAUAUAUCUUAUAAUAUAUAAUGUAUUAUAUAUUUAUAUAUACACACACUAUUAUAUAUCUUAUAUAUUAUGUAUUAUAUAUUUAUAUAUACAUACUAUUAUAUAUCUUAUAAUAUAUUAUGUAUUAUAUAUUUAUAUAUAUACACUAUUAUAUAUCUUAUUAUAUAUUAUAUAUUUAUAUAUGCACACACUAUUACAUAUCUUAUUAUAUAUUUAUAUGUAUACACACACUAUUAUAUAUCUUAUUAUAUAUUAUGUACUAUAUAUUUAUAUAUACUAUUAUAUAUCUUAUAAUAUAUAAUGUAUUAUAUAUUUAUAUAUACACACACUAUUAUAUAUCUUAUAUAUUAUGUAUUAUAUAUUUAUAUAUACAUACUAUUAUAUAUCUUAUAAUAUAUUAUGUAUUAUAUAUUUAUAUAUACACACUAUUAUAUAUCUUAUUAUAUAUUAUAUAUUUAUAUAUGCACACACUAUUACAUAUCUUAUUAUAUAUUUAUAUGUAUACACACACUAUUAUAUAUCUUAUAUAUUAUAUAUUUAUAUAUACUCACACUAUAUCUUAUAAUACAUAUUAUGCAUACACAUAUGCAUAAUACAUAUUAUCUAUACACAUAUGCAUAAUACAUAUUAUGUAUACACAUAUGCAUAACACAUAUUAUGUAUACACACAUAUUUACACCUAUGCAUAUAUGUAUGUAUGUAUGCGAAUGUACCUCUGCCACGGCAGGGAAAGGUUCUAUCACACAACUACAGAGCAGUUAGGAGAAGUGUAGACACAAAGGAAUGCAGCAACUGAGGGACAUGUUGGCUUAAGUCUCUUCAACUCCUCACACACCUCCCCCUUUUUUGGUUGAUUCUCAGGAGCAGCUGAGACCCUCAGCCCAUCGCAAAACAAGACAGACUCCAAGACUGGUGUGUAAGGAGAUGCUCUCGGUUAUGGGGCUGGCACAGAGGGUCAGGUCCUGUGAAGGGGAGGUGGGUGCCCUGGGUGGACAUCCAGGGGUCCCGGGUGAUGUUGAUCUGCCCUGACCUCUGAGACCUCUUGGUCCACCAUCCCCAGCCUCACACCCCCAGGAUUACACAGUGGAGAAUCUCAUCCGCGUGGCUGUGGCUGGCUUGGUCCUGGUGGUCCUCGGGAUUCUGCUGCUUUAGGACUGGCACAGCUAGAGAAGUCCCCAAGAUGCAGCAAGGAGGUAAAUACAUGAGAGAACAAUGCACCCUUCAGAGUGCCAGAGCCUUGGCAAUGAAUCUGAUAGUCCUAGGAGGUUCUGGAAGAAAGUCUGGACCAUCAUUCGGGAAACCGUCUACUGAGAAAGUCGAGAAGGGGAGGCUUGGGUCAGGUUCAGGAAG
rnacentral:lncRNA from 1 species